AACCGGAGCUAAUACCGGAUAGUUCCUUGAACCGCAUGGUUCAAGGAUGAAAGACGGUUUCGGCUGUCACUUACAGAUGGACCCGCGGCGCAUUAGCUAGUUGGUGGGGUAAUGGCUCACCAAGGCGACGAUGCGUAGCCGACCUGAGAGGGUGAUCGGCCACACUGGGACUGAGACACGGCCCAGACUCCUACGGGAGGCAGCAGUAGGGAAUCUUCCCCAAUGGACGAAAGUCUGACGGAGCAACGCCGCGUGAGUGAUGAAGGUUUUCGGAUCGUAAAGCUCUGUUGUUAGGGAAGAACAAGUGCGAGAGUAACUGCUCGCACCUUGACGGUACCUAACCAGAAAGCCACGGCUAACUACGUGCCAGCAGCCGCGGUAAUACGUAGGUGGCAAGCGUUGUCCGGAAUUAUUGGGCGUAAAGGGCUCGCAGGCGGUUUCUUAAGUCUGAUGUGAAAGCCCCCGGCUCAACCGGGGAGGGUCAUUGGAAACUGGGAAACUUGAGUGCAGAAGAGGAGAGUGGAAUUCCACGUGUAGCGGUGAAAUGCGUAGAGAUGUGGAGGAACACCAGUGGCGAAGGCGACUCUCUGGUCUGUAACUGACGCUGAGGAGCGAAAGCGUGGGGAGCGAACAGGAUUAGAUACCCUGGUAGUCCACGCCGUAAACGAUGAGUGCUAAGUGUUAGGGGGUUUCCGCCCCUUAGUGCUGCAGCUAACGCAUUAAGCACUCCGCCUGGGGAGUACGGUCGCAAGACUGAAACUCAAAGGAAUUGACGGGGGCCCGCACAAGCGGUGGAGCAUGUGGUUUAAUUCGAAGCAACGCGAAGAACCUUACCAGGUCUUGACAUCCUCUGACAACCCUAGAGAUAGGGCUUUCCCUUCGGGGACAGAGUGACAGGUGGUGCAUGGUUGUCGUCAGCUCGUGUCGUGAGAUGUUGGGUUAAGUCCCGCAACGAGCGCAACCCUUGAUCUUAGUUGCCAGCAUUCAGUUGGGCACUCUAAGGUGACUGCCGGUGACAAACCGGAGGAAGGUGGGGAUGACGUCAAAUCAUCAUGCCCCUUAUGACCUGGGCUACACACGUGCUACAAUGGACAGAACAAAGGGCUGC
rnacentral:rRNA from 1 species